GGCAACUCCGUCCCUCCCCUGAGGUCUCACAUUCAUAAAUAACAGCUGAGGAGGGGAUCUUUGGAGACCUGAACUCCCCCCUCAUUACCGUCUUGCUCUUGCUAAAGGAUGCUAUUUUAAUAACUGGACAUUUUCAGAAGAAAUCUUUGCCCUCACACAAGCCCUCCCAGACAGAUGGGAGUCCCUCCCUCUAAGGACGGAAGCAGGAGGGUGCUGAGCCCUGAACCUCUGAAGCCUACUCUGGGCCACCAACAGCCACAGCAUCCUGCUCAACUCAGCCUACUGGCUGCUGGUGUCUCACAGCAGCUGCUGCCCAUUGAAGGGAGCCCAACAUCCCCCACACUGCCUGUGCCCUGGAGGACAGCUUGCCGGGGUUCACUUCAUUUACAUAAAGCUGAUCAUCAGGUUUGCUUCUCUGACGUUUGUGGUCCUACACUGUAAACUGAUACCUCCAAACUGAGCCAUGGCACCUUCCUCAUUCUCAGGGAGCCUCUCGUGCUCUGAAAUGGUGUCACCGUCCUGGCAGGUUUCUGUCCUCCCUGACCAGCUCCUGUAAUGGCUGCCUGAAGUCGGGGAAAGCAUCCAGAAGCUCCAGUUAUGGGGAUUCGGGUAACUAGAGAUGUCACUCCAGGGUGGAUGAAUGGCAGCGCCUGGGCCUGUCUGGCUGGAACCUGGGCUGCUCAUUCAGGCAGGGGCUACCAAGGCCGGGAAACCCCCAGAACACAGUGGAUGUGGCGGCAGCCAGGGCUGACCCUGGAGCUUACUCUGAGGACAAGCAGUGAUGGCGCCCCUGGAGGCCUGGCAAAGACACAGAUGACAAGACCAAAGGAAACAGGGCUAAAUGACUUGACCAGGAUAACACAGCUAGUAAGUGUCUGAGAUUUGAAUACAAGAUGUUUUCCUGACUCCACAGCCAAGAUCCUAUGUACUCUGCCACUUAAAUGUCCCAGCUAAUGAGCAGCAGACUUGACUUCCUUAUCUUAAUUCUAGCACUCUUUCCAUACUAUGUCUUCUUCAUUGCUCUAGUAGAGGAUUUUGCCCACAGGAUAAUGGAAAAAACAUACUAGGUCAUUGAUUGACAAGAAGACAGUAAGAGAAGGCUUAUAUAUGCUUUUUAAAAUUAAUUUUCUACCCAAUUACAUGUAAAAAACUUUCCACUACUUUAAUAUAUUUUAAAAUAUUUUGAGUCUUUGACUCUCUCCUUCUCUUUUCCCACCCCUUGCUGAGAUGGUAAACUCAUAAAGAUUUUACACAUGCAAUCAUGUAAAACAUUUUUUCUCACUAUUCCUUUAAUGAAAGAAUGUCAAAAAUUAAAGAAUGAAGUGAAA
rnacentral:lncRNA from 1 species